rnacentral:rRNA from 1 species
UGCAAGUCGAGCGGACAGAUGGGAGCUUGCUCCCUGAUGUUAGCGGCGGACGGGUGAGUAACACGUGGGUAACCUGCCUGUAAGACUGGGAUAACUCCGGGAAACCGGGGCUAAUACCGGAUGGUUGUUUGAACCGCAUGGUUCAGACAUAAAAGGUGGCUUCGGCUACCACUUACAGAUGGACCCGCGGCGCAUUAGCUAGUUGGUGAGGUAACGGCUCACCAAGGCGACGAUGCGUAGCCGACCUGAGAGGGUGAUCGGCCACACUGGGACUGAGACACGGCCCAGACUCCUACGGGAGGCAGCAGUAGGGAAUCUUCCGCAAUGGACGAAAGUCUGACGGAGCAACGCCGCGUGAGUGAUGAAGGUUUUCGGAUCGUAAAGCUCUGUUGUUAGGGAAGAACAAGUGCCGUUCAAAUAGGGCGGCACCUUGACGGUACCUAACCAGAAAGCCACGGCUAACUACGUGCCAGCAGCCGCGGUAAUACGUAGGUGGCAAGCGUUGUCCGGAAUUAUUGGGCGUAAAGGGCUCGCAGGCGGUUUCUUAAGUCUGAUGUGAAAGCCCCCGGCUCAACCGGGGAGGGUCAUUGGAAACUGGGGAACUUGAGUGCAGAAGAGGAGAGUGGAAUUCCACGUGUAGCGGUGAAAUGCGUAGAGAUGUGGAGGAACACCAGUGGCGAACGCGACUCUCUGGUCUGUAACUGACGCUGAGGAGCGAAAGCGUGGGG